GACGAUGGCAUGGGCGGGAGGAGGAAGAAGGGCAUCAAGGAGAAGAUCAAGGAGAAGCUCCCUGGUGGCCACGGUGACCAGCAGAACACCGGUGGCACCUACGGACAGCAGGGUACCGGCAUGGCCGGCACCGGCGGCACCUACGGGCAGCAGGGUCACACUGGGAUGACCGGCACCGGUGGCACCUACGGACAGCAAGGCCACACUGGGAUGGCCGGCACCGGCGGCGCCUACGGGCAGCAGGGUCACACUGGGAUGACCGGCACCGGCGGCACCUACGGACAGCAAGGCCACACUGGGAUGGCCGGCACCGGGGCACAUGGCACCACGGCCACCGGCGGCACCUACGGGCAGCAGGGUCACGCCGGGAUGACAGGCACAGGGGCGCACGGCACCGGCGGCGGCUACGGGCAGCACGGCACUGACACCGGCGAGAAGAAGGGCAUCAUGGACAAGAUCAAGGAGAAGCUCCCAGGCCAGCAUUGAGCGCUGAGCAGAGCCCGCGGCCGCCACUUCUGAGAGUGGAGGUGCCGGUCGACCACCUUUGCAGAAUCAAUAAUAACAUGGCGAUACAAUAAAAUUCCACCAUACAACGUGAGCCUGGUUCACCGAGCUCACUUGCGUGUUGGAGGAGCCACCGUAUCUAGGCUCAAGUUUACGUGAACAACCAGUGUUGUUUGUUUUGAGUUUCUCGUCUGUUUACACUGUAUAAUCUUGUAAAUUUCCUUCUGGUUAAACCGUGUAUGUAUGCUUCGCGUACAGGUAAGUUAUUUUAUCAAAAAUAUAUACUCCUAUAAUAGCUUAAGAGCAUCAUAUGUAUUUCGGCCUUGUGAUGAAACCGGUGCACUGGGUCCGUGCCUUGGUUUCCGUAUUUGGAAAUUUCGGAAGGUUCUACAAAAAGAAGAAAAUACAUACAGGGCAUAUAAGACCAGUGAAUACACAAUACCAG
rnacentral:lncRNA from 1 species